UACGGGGGGGGCAAGCGUUGUUCGGAAUUACUGGGCGUAAAGGGUCCGUAGGUGGCCAACUAAGUCAGACGUGAAAUCCCUCAGCUUAACUGGGGAACUGCGUCUGAGACUGAUUGGCUUGAGGACAGGAGAGGAACGCGGAAUUCCAGGUGUAGCGGUGAAAUGCGUAGAUAUCUGGAGGAACACCGGUGGCGAAGGCGGCGUUCUGGACUGUUUCUGACACUGAAGGACGAAAGCCAGGGGAGCAAACGGG
rnacentral:rRNA from 1 species